GCGGCAGUAGCUCAGUGGUAGAGCAUCACCUUGCCAAGGUGAGGGUCACGGGUUCGAUCCCCGUUUGCCGCUCCA
rnacentral:tRNA from 1 species